CCUGGGUCCUGCCCACAAGGAGCCUUUUGGCUUAUCUCUGCAUCCAUCAACUAGGAGAUGUGACUCUUCUUUUCUGUCUGGAUUCUACAAAAACAAGUGAUUGUGACAUAUUAUCAAACCCAGCAACUAGACGAUGUGAUUUUUCUUCCCUGCUUGAACCCUGGAUUUGCUGUGUAUUGUGAUAUAUGGCUGGGUCCAACAUUAAGGAGAGAUUGUGACAUAUCUCUGGAACCAGAACCUUGGUGCUGUGACUCUUCCCUCCUGCUGAAGCUGUGCCCACACAAGGGAAAGUGACUUAUUCCUGGGCCCAGCACACAGGUCUUUUCCCACAGAGAGCAUUGUGAAAUAUCACUGGGCUCGGCCACCAGGUUAUGUGACUCUUCUGCCUGUUUCCUGCUUCCAGGAAAUAUUGUGACAUCCCUCAUACAGCAUCCAGGUGAUGUGACUCUUCUGCUCAUUUUCUACUUACAGGUGGAUGGUGAAUCUAAGACCAGGAUUCAACACAUCUAGAAGGCUUUGACUCUGAUACCACUCACAGAAGGCUCUGAGACUCUUCUAUUUUCUCUAGGUCAUGCAAAUGGAGGCAGAUUGUGACAUAUCAUAGAGCCAACACAACACACAGUCUGCAGGUGGAAUUGGGACUCUCAUGCAUGGAUACAGUUCAUCAUUGACAUUGUGACUCCUGUACUUGGAUGCAACUCACAGGAGGUCAUGCAAAUGGAGGAGGAUUGUGACAUAUCAUAGGGCCAACACAAAAAUAAUGUAAAACUCCUGCCUGAGCCAUGCCCAUAGAAGGCACUGUGACAUAUCACCAGUCACAGCACUCAGGUGGUAUUUUGACAUAUAACUGCACCCAGCACACAGGUGAAGCAUCUUGUAUGAUCAUCCUGCCAAAAGUUAUGAGUGUCACCCUCACACAUUGGACAGAGACCUCUGGUUAUGUCUUGAAUCUUGUACAUGGACACAGUCCACAGUUGGAAUGUCAUAUGUAGAUCCAGCCACGGAUUAUGUAUAAUCUCAGAAGAUGUGUAUGGGUUCAAGUUAACAAAGGAGUGGAUUUGUGAUGGUCAACACUGAGUGUCAACUUGAUUGGAUUGAAGGAUACAAAUUAUUGAUCCUGGAGGGAUUGUGACAUAUAACAAGGCCCAGCACCUGGGUGAUGUGACUCUCAUUUCCUGCCUGAGUUUUGCCUGCAGAAUAGCCUGUGACAUAUAGCUGGGUGGAGCUCCCAGUGGAUGUGACUGUCCUGCCUGGGCCCUGUCUACAGUGCACAUUGUGACAUCUCCUUCCUGGGUCCUGCUUAU